rnacentral:rRNA from 1 species
UACGAGGGGGGCAAGCGUUGUUCGGAAUUAUUGGGCGUAAAGGGUGUGUAGGCGGUUUGGUAAGUCUCUAGUGAAAUCUCUGGGCUCAACCCAGAGCCUGCUGGGGAAACUGCCGGGCUUGAGUGUGGGAGAGGUGAGUGGAAUUCCCGGUGUAGCGGUGAAAUGCGUAGAUAUCGAUCGGAACACCCAUGGCGAAGGCAGCUCGCUGGCCUAACACUGACGCUGAGGCGCGAAAGCGUGGGGAGCAAACAGG